rnacentral:rRNA from 1 species
AGAGUUUGAUCAUGGCUCAGAUUGAACGCUGGCGGCAGGCUUAACACAUGCAAGUCGAGCGGGCGAGGUUGCUUCGGUAACUGAGCUAGCGGCGGACGGGUGAGUAAUGCUUAGGAAUCUGCCUAUUAGUGGGGGACAACAUUCCGGAAGGAAUGCUAAUACCGCAUACGUCCUACGGGAGAAAGCAGGGGAUCAUUUGACCCUGCGCUAAUAGAUGAGCCUAAGUCGGAUUAGCUAGUUGGUGGGGUAAAGGCCUACCAAGGCGACGAUCUGUAGCGGGUCUGAGAGGAUGAUCCGCCACACUGGGGCUGAGACACGGCCCAGACUCCUACGGGAGGCAGCAGUGGGGAAUAUUGGACAAUGGGGGGAACCCUGAUCCAGCCAUGCCGCGUGUGUGAAGAAGGCCUUUUGGUUGUAAAGCACUUUAAGCGAGGAGGAGGCUCUCUUGGUUAAUACCUGAGAAGAGUGGACGUUACUCGCAGAAUAAGCACCGGCUAACUCUGUGCCAGCAGCCGCGGUAAUACAGAGGGUGCGAGCGUUAAUCGGAUUUACUGGGCGUAAAGCGCGCGUAGGUGGCUAAUUAAGUCAAAUGUGAAAUCCCCGAGCUUAACUUGGGAAUUGCAUUCGAUACUGGUUGGCUAGAGUAUGGGAGAGGAUGGUAGAAUUCCAGGUGUAGCGGUGAAAUGCGUAGAGAUCUGGAGGAAUACCGAUGGCGAAGGCAGCCAUCUGGCCUAAUACUGACACUGAGGUGCGAAAGCAUGGGAGCAAAUAGGAUUAGAUACCCUGGUAGUCC